UGCAUCGGCCGGGAAUCGAAACCGGGGCGCACGCGUGGCAAGCGAGCAUUCUACCACUGAACGUCCGAUGG
rnacentral:tRNA from 1 species